rnacentral:rRNA from 1 species
AACGAACGCUGGCGGCAUGCCUAACACAUGCAAGUCGAACGAGACCUUCGGGUCUAGUGGCGCACGGGUGCGUAACGCGUGGGAACCUGCCCUUAGGUUCGGAAUAACUCCCCGAAAGGGGUGCUAAUACCGGAUAAUGUCUUCGGACCAAAGAUUUAUCGCCUUUGGAUGGGCCCGCGUUGGAUUAGCUAGUUGGUAGGGUAAAAGCCUACCAAGGCGACGAUCCAUAGCUGGUCUGAGAGGAUGAUCAGCCACACUGGGACUGAGACACGGCCCAGACUCCUACGGGAGGCAGCAGUGGGGAAUAUUGGACAAUGGGCGAAAGCCUGAUCCAGCAAUGCCGCGUGAGUGAUGAAGGCCUUAGGGUUGUAAAGCUCUUUUACCCGGGAUGAUAAUGGCAGUACCGGGAGAAUAAGCUCCGGCUAACUCCGG